rnacentral:rRNA from 1 species
CCUACGGGUGGCUGCAGUGGGGAAUAUUGCACAAUGGGGGAAACCCUGAUGCAGCGACGCCGCGUGAGCGAUGAAGUAUUUCGGUAUGUAAAGCUCUAUCAGCAGGGAAGAAAAUGACGGUACCUGACUAAGAAGCCCCGGCUAACUACGUGCCAGCAGCCGAGGUAAUACGGAGGGGGCAAGGGUUAUCCGGAUUUCUUGGGGGUAAAGGGAGCGUAGACGGUCCUGCAAGCCAGAUGUGAAAGCCCGGGGCUCAACCCCGGGACUGCCAUUGGAACUGCAUGGCUGGAGUGCGGGAGGGGCAGGCGGAAUGCCUGGUGUAGCGGUGAAAUGCGUAGAGAUCAGGAGGAACACCGGCGGCGAAGGCGGCCUGCUGGACCGCGACUGACGUUGAGGCUCGAAAGCGUGGGGAGCGAACAGGAUUAGAUACCCCAGUAGUC